UGUGUGUGUGUGUGUGUAGGGAAAGGAUGAGUCAUCUUGCACAAAAUCAAUAAACAGUCUUGUCGCACCUUAAAGACUAACCAAUUUAUUAUGACUUCACUUUUAUGGACUGCAGUCUACUUCAUCAGGUACAUGCAUAGAUGGGUUCAUCCCACGUAGAGACAAUUGAUGAGUAAGGACUCUGCUCCUCAGAUAUUCUGCCCAUUCAAGGAGGCUGGAGACUGUACUUUUAGGGAGGGGACCAUAUAUAGCCCAGUGGUGUAGAACACAUACAUUACUUGAAGAUUGUCCCUGGCACAGCUCCUCUUAAAAGCAUUAGGCAAGAAGUGAUGUGGAAGACCUCUGCCAUAGACCCUUGAGAGGUGCUGCUGAUCAGGGCAGACAGUGCUGGGCUAGAGAUGAACGACCUAAGGCAGCUUUCGAAACAAAAUAAAAAAAUUCCUUCCAGUAGCACCUUAGAGACCAACUAAGUUUGUUAUUGGUAUGAGCUUUCGUGUGCAUGCACACUUCUUCAGAUACCUGUAACUAAGGCAGCUUUGUAAGGGUUGUGGUGUGAGCAUGAAAAAUAUCAAGUUUCCCUUGGGCAAACACAUCAGAUGCAUUCCUUAAUCACAAUCAGGUCAGGGAGCCAUCAUGGG